GCCACCGCAGGAAAGGCGCUCAGCUGGGAGGAAGGAGCACGUUCAGCCUGGGGAGGAGGAUGGGAGAAGGAGGCAGAUGAAGGCAAUGGUGAUCAGGUUUUCGGCGGGAAGGUGACCUCCGACCUGGCUGACACAGGGCAAGGAAGAGAUCUCCGUCUCUGCAGAGGGGCCUGAGGGCAGGACACAUCAGGCCGAGAACUGCCAGUGCAAAGGCCUGGGGGCCGGAAGGUCUUGGUCGGGGAGCCCCGGCGCAGGCGCAGGCUGAGGCCCUCGGAUCCCCAGCGGGUCCUCGGCAUCAGUCACUCUCUGCGAGUCAGAGCUGAGGGUCACCGCCUGCAGGAGCCUCCGUGCGCGGCCCCACUCCCUCACCUGCGUCCCCGUGGGGAGGCGACCCUGACCGCCCUCAUUCCGGACGCCAGCAGGGCUCCGGCAGCCAGCGGUCCCCUCCCGAGUCUCUGCUCCUGCCAGGACUCUGCAGGAGCGGGACCCCAUCGCCGCGGCUGGGAUGCCGUGAGAGUUUCAUUCCACUCAAAGGCUCUUGGAAAAUUCACUCGAAAGGUCUUGGAAAAUUGGGGACAUACAUCUUUAAAAGCUGGAGACACUUUAUGGAGCGGAGUAUCUGCACCGCCCCCGCCCCAACUCCUGUUCUUCCUCCCCUCCCCGAGCAGGUCUGGGUGAUGGCUGGGGAUUCGCCAUGGCGUGGGGAUCCGGCGUGGUAUCCUGCACCGGGUAGUGGCGCGGUGUGUCCCGAGGCUAAUUUGGAAAAAGGCGAAACCUGAGGGGCGGCGGCGGCGAGCCCUCGGCACAGCGUCCCCUGGCGGCCGCCAGGCUCAGCCAGGUCUGAGAGCCGGGAGGUCGCCGGAAGAGCCGGGCCCAAGGCAGGAUCAGCCCAGCUCCUCCAGGUAUACAGUGAAAAGUCUUCAUCCCAGAAAAGCUGUCAGUCAAAUGUUAAAACUGAGGGACAUUCUACAAAAUACCUGACUAAUAUCCUCAGAACUGUCAAAGUCAUCAAAACCCAGGAAGAGUCUGAGAAAUUGUCACGGCCGAGAAGAGCCUAAGGAGACAGGACCAUCAAAUGUAAUGUUGUGUCAUGGAUGAGGUCCUGGAGCAGAAAAACGGACAUCUGGUGAAAACCAAGGAAAUCCGAGUCAAGAUGGACUUUAGUUAAUGCAUCAACACCGGUUCAUUACUUGUAACAAACAACACAUACCAACGACCGAUGCUAAUAAUAGGGAACCCUGGGUGAAAGCUUUAUGGAGACUCUUAUUAUCUUUGCAAUAUUUCUGUGACUGUAAAACUGUUUAGAAAAUAAAGUUUAUUUUUUUAAAGAGUC